GACGAACGCUGGCGGCGUGCUUAAUACAUGCAAGUCGAGCGGGGUCCAUCCGGUGGCAACACCGGGGAAGACCUAGCGGCGAACGGGUGAGUAACACGUGAGCAACCUGCCCCGAAGUCCGGGAUAACACCGGGAAACCGGUGCUAAUACCGGGUGCCCUCAUCGGGCCGCAUGACCUGAUGAGGAAAGAAUCUCGCUUCGGGAGGGGCUCGCGGGCUAUCAGCUGGUUGGUGGGGUAACGGCCUACCAAGGCGACGACGGCUAGCUGGUCUGAGAGGACGACCAGCCACACUGGGACUGAGACACGGCCCAGACUCCUACGGGAGGCAGCAGUAGGGAAUCUUGCGCAAUGGGCGAAAGCCUGACGCAGCAACGCCGCGUGGGGGAUGAAGGCCCUCGGGUUGUAAACCCCUUUCAGCAGGGACGAAACUGACGGUACCUGCAGAAGAAGCCCCGGCCAACUACGUGCCAGCAGCCGCGGUAAUACGUAGGGGGCGAGCGUGUCCGGAUCAUGGCGGU
rnacentral:rRNA from 1 species